CUUGUUUUAACUUGAUAUUUUGCUAUCAGAACAUUGUGUCAUUCUCGACAAGUACUCGUCUUUUACUUGCGCGUCAGCAAGUGCAUCGAAGUCGAGUACCGUCGGGCACAUAAUUGUUUCUAUGCGGGAUAAUGUGUCGGCUACA